UACGGGGGGAGCAAGCGUUGUUCGGAUUUACUGGGCGUAAAGGGCGCGUAGGCGGUCAGCACAAGUCAGUUGUGAAAUCUCCGGGCUUAACUCGGAAAGGUCAACUGAUACUGUGCGACUAGAGUGCAGAAGGGGCAACUGGAAUUCUCGGUGUAGCGGUGAAAUGCGUAGAUAUCGAGAGGGACACCUGCGGCGAAGGCGGGUUGCUGGGCCGACACUGACGCUGAUGCGCGAAAGCCAGGGGAGCGAACGGG
rnacentral:rRNA from 1 species